AGUUCCUCAGAUUCAGCGCGGGGGAGAGCUGCGGGCCCCGCCGGGGGAGCCCAGGGGGCCUUCGCAGAGGAUCUGGAGGCCUUUCAGAAAGGAAGCCAGGUCUAACCCGGCCUUCCGCUCCAAGACUAAGUGAUGGUCUACGCCGCCGGCGGCCGAAUCCCCACCCGCCCUACCAGAGGCUAAGCCCCCACCUCGCGCUUAAGGGAACGAGUCCCGAUCUGUCGCCGUAGUGCCGCCCCAGGCUGCCGGCCGCCGAGUCCCCGUUCCCUCCGCACCCGCCACCCCGCGUAGGCUGACUCCCCGCUUGCCGCCCCAAACCGAAGUCCCAAUUUUUAGCUUCAGUGGCCUCAGAGACCUGACUUUUCCAAGCUUCCAUAGGAAGGUGAGGAUGGAGAGCAUCUGGCAUCCGGAGCCCCUGUCCCUCGGCACAGCCCCGAGGCCUCCGGGGGGUCGGGGGAAAGGGUUCGGGGACCGCAGGGGCGAUGAAGCCCCAAACCCUGAGCCAUUCUCCGUGCUUCUGGCCUUAGAGGGACUUGCGCACACAUGGCUGAGAAUAUUAACCAGAAAGGUGUUACUGAUACCAGAAAGGGGUCCCGAUCCAGACCCCAAGAGAGAGUUCUUGGACCUUGGGCAAAAAUUCCAGGCGAUUCCAUAGAGUAAAGUGAAAGCAAGUUUAUUAAGAAAGCAAAGGAAUAAAGAAGGGCUACUCCAUAGGCAGAGCACCAGCGUGGGCUGCUCAACUGAUUGUAGUUACUUCCUGACUAUAUGCCAAACAAGGGGUGGAUUAUUCAGGAGUUUUCCAGGAAAGGGGUGGGCAGUUCCUGGAACUGAAGGUUCUUCCCCCUCUUUUAGACCAUAUAGGGUAACUUCUGGACAUUACCAUGGCAUUUGUAAACUGUCAUGGUGCAAAAAAAAAAAAAAAAAAAAAAAAAAAAAAAGACACUUUUAUCAUGCUAAAAUAUUAUAAUUAGCAUAUAAUGAGCAGUGAGGACGAUCAGAGGUCACUUUCCUGGCCAUCUUGGUUGUGGUGGUUUUGGGCAGGCU
rnacentral:lncRNA from 1 species